AAGGAUUCCCCUAGUAACUGCGAGUGAAGCGGGAAAAGCUCAAAUUUAAAAUCUGGCAGUCUUUGGCUGUCCGAAUUGUAUCUGGAGAAGCGUUUUCCGCGCUGGACCGUGUAUAAGUCUCUUGGAAUAGAGCGUCAUAGAGGGUGAGAAUCCCGUCUUUGACACGGACUACCAGUGCUUUGUGAUGCGCUCUCAAAGAGUCGAGUUGUUUGGGAAUGCAGCUCAAAAUGGGUGGUGAA
rnacentral:rRNA from 1 species